rnacentral:tRNA from 1 species
GCCCUCUUAGCUCAAUUGGUAGAGCGCACGGCUGUUAACCGUGAGGUAGUUGGAUCGUAGCCAACAGGGGGCGC